rnacentral:rRNA from 1 species
GGGCCCGCACAAGCGGUGGAGCAUGUGGUUCAAUUCGAAGCAACGCGCAGAACCUUACCAGCCUUUGACAUCCCGGUCGCGAGCACCAGAGAUGGAGCUCUUCAGUUCGGCUGGACCGGAGACAGGUGCUGCAUGGCUGUCGUCAGCUCGUGUCGUGAGAUGUUGGGUUAAGUCCCGCAACGAGCGCAACCCUCGCCCUUAGUUGCCAUCAUUCAGUUGGGCACUCUAAGGGGACUGCCGGUGAUAAGCCGCGAGGAAGGUGGGGAUGACGUCAAGUCCUCAUGGCCCUUACAGGCUGGGCUACACACGUGCUACAAUGGCGGUGACAGUGGGACGCAAUGGAGCAAUCCUGCGCAAAUCUCAAAAAGCCGUCUCAGUUCGGAUUGUGCUCUGCAACUCGAGCACAUGAAGUUGGAAUCGCUAGUAAUCGCAGAUCAGCACGCUGCGGUGAAUACGUUCCCGGGCCUU